AGCGUAUUGAUUUUCAAAUGCAGUAGGUCCAUCCUUUUCUAAAGUAAGAUGUCUUGACUGCCACAGGACCUUGAAAAGCCAGUCUGGAGAACAGACUGAAAAGGGAAAUGAUAUCUCUUCUACUCAUUUUUAGCUCUAAGAAAUCUGGGGACACAGUAUAAAUGCAUCACUGGUAUAUACACUUGGACAGUAUAAGCAAGAGAAUGCUACUGUAAUCUGCCAGCACAGUUGAUGUUCCUAAACUCAGAUAUUUCAUUCAAGGGGCACUUGUGACCAUGGUCACGGCUCUGAGUGGAUCUGAUGGAAAAGGAAUGUUGGUUUCUCCCACGUGGGUUUCCUACUGGUUUGCCUCUGAGCAAACCGUCCUUAGACACUGUAGCUGAAGAUAAGCAGUCAUUCCAGAGCCAGAGCAGUGUGGUUCUGAAAGUUUAUAGUCUUAACAAUUAAGAAAAUCAGAGGGGAAUCAUCUGUAUGUAAAAGAAUGGAACUAAGGAGAACCAAAUGCUGUAAAUUACUUCAGAAUCAGUUUCACGAAAUUACCAUAUCCCAAAUCAAAGGGCUAUACCUCACUCUCAAGAUGGCUGGAAUUCACUGCACUUUCCAGAAGAUGUUCUCAUUCUCCUUUGCGAGUAAGGGGGCUGUGAAUGAAGGCUAGGACUGUUUACAUGACUUUGUAAUAAUUUUCCCAUCUUGGUUGUUUUGAGAAAUCUUGCACAAUAAGAGAGGUACUAAUGGAAAGUGAAAAUGCCAUUCAGAUUCUCUAAAAUAACAAAAAACUAGAUUCAAGAAAUGAAGGCUAAUACUGAUCUGAAGCAAAAUUCCAGAGUGGAUUGGUAAACAGAAGGUUAGAGAGACUUGUGAGAAGAACAAAUACGAGUGAAGUCCUGAAGAGCAAACCAUACACAUUCAAGUUUUGUUCUUUCUGUUUUGGGGGGGGGGUGCUAAGGAAGAAAGAGCUGCUUGGGAAUGCCACACAGCGUAUUUUUAUUUGAGCCAAAUAAAAAUCAUUAUUUGCUCAUGGAACUAGAUGAGGACACCUGGGAAGAGAACACGUCUGACCUCCAG